AUUGAACGCUGGCGGCAGGCCUAACACAUGCAAGUCGAACGAGUGGCGGACGGGUGAGUAAUGUCUGGGAAACUGCCUGAUGGCGGGGGAUAACUACUGGAAACGGUAGCUAAUACAGCAUACAAUUAGAGGUGCCCAUAUGGGAUUAGCUAGUUGGUGGGGUAACGGCUCACCAAGGCGACGAUCCCUAGCUGGUCUGAGAGGAUGACCAGCCAAACUGGGACUGAGACACGGUCCAGAAUCCUACGUGAGGCAGCAGUGGGGAAUAUUGCACAAUGGGCGAAAACCUGAUGCAGCCAUGCCGCGUGUAUGAAGAAGGCCUUCGGGUUGUAAAGUACUUUCAGCAGGGAGGCGUUAUCCGCAGAAGAAGCACCGGCUAACUCCGUGCCAGCCGCCGCGGUAAUUC
rnacentral:rRNA from 1 species